UCUUCAGCAACCUGUAACGUUAAACCUCAUUCACAAAUAUUGCGCGCCGUUCAACCUUCUCCAAGCCGUUCGAGCAAAUUGAUCUCUCUUGGUGUUCCAGGCGUUACACAUCCUUGCUUAAAUCUGCGGCAUUAUUUAACAUUCAGGUUUAGCAUAAAAAAACGCCAAACACCCCAUCUUUGCCUUUCAAUUUUCCAUAUAAAUCAGCUGUAACUACCAGAUUUCGGACAACUAUAAUCUCGGAUCGGAAAAUAUGAAACUCGGCAACUCAGAUCAGACUUGAUUUUCAGUUUUAUGAAAUUUUAUGUUGUGCCGAUAUUGUUGGGUUGCUAUACUCUGACUCGUGCACAUAAGCUGCUCGAUAAAAUGGGUUUAGGUGCUUAUAUCACUAAUAUUUUAAUUCCUAAGAAAAGAGUUUCAACCAUUAGAUUUCUGGAAGUUUGUACCGCUAAAAUUCAAUCAUAGGCAAUAAUUUUCAGGAAAUUAGAGGCUUUAUCCAUCAGUUUUGGUACAAAAUAAAUAUACAUAGUAAUUUGUAUUUAUAUUUCUGCAUUUUUAUCAAGUUCCAGCUUGCUGUGAAGGUAUAUGCAAAUUUUAUUGCUUCAGUCUAAGCAAGUUUGGCUACAAAUCAAGAUAAGCCAUGCCUAUAACUGUAGUCAUUUCCUUUGUAGUAGCGUAAGUUAAUAAGAAAUUUAAUUUUUUAGAUUAAAGAUCCCUAUUGAUUUUUCUAUGGCAAUUGAUGAGCUGACAGAGCAAUAAACUUCAUGCUCUAAAUGAAUACUAUAUAAAUUUCUUUUCUUGUGGCAAUAUUUCUGUCAUGUUUCUUAAUUUUAUCAGGAACAAGUGUACAAGAUAUUACAGCUAUGCUGUAACAACCAAAUUUUGGAAAAGUAGAAUCUUGGAUCGGAAAAUAUGAAACUCGACAACUCUGGUGUGGGAUGCAACUUCAAUGUUGUGGAUUUGUAAAUAAUCAUCUCGCUUUCUUUUGAUGAUAAUAUUUUUAUUUUGACAUAAAUCAUACUUUGGUUCAAUCAGUGUAAACAUUUUCUAUUAGGUGUGAACCACUUUUUUAUAAACCAAGAAGAUGACCAAACUGAGAUGGUUUAUAUUUAUAAAUUAAGUAAUUUA